rnacentral:lncRNA from 1 species
AACAUCAGAUGAUGUCAAAACAACGUUGAUUGCACCCUUUUGACCACCCUUUGAUGCUAGCUGCACGAUUUGCUUGCUGGAGAGCGAUUUCCCCAAUGAAUACCUCUCGUCUAAAAUCUGUGCUCCUACAGAGAGGAGAAGAGGAGAGGUUUUCUUCGUCUUGACAAGGUUGUAAUAUUUCUCAGUAGCUUUCCACCACGUGGCAACAGAGGGUUGGGCUGUUGUGGGUCUUCUAGAAGAGACAGAGGCAAUAAAAUCUGAGACAAUGGCACGCUGAGAUGGCUUGAACUUGCCAUACCAGAUCAAGUUGAUAGAAAUUUCACCGGUAAGAAGAGGGCCAUUGUGGUAUUGAAAUAACAAGGGAUCUUGGCUUUGAUCUGACACGGAGAAUGUCCUUGCUGCUGAGCUGAAUUGUAUAAUAGAGAUUAACAGAACAAGUUGAAGAAGAGAGUGUGAAGAAAGAAAGGAGGCCAUGAUUGAUCUGAUGAUCGGUAGUGAUGGAAGAGAGGAUUUUGUGAGUGGAGAGAAACGGAGGAGGAGAUUGGGUAUAUAUAGUCUCAGGGAAGUGUUGAAAUCUUAGGGAGGGAAGCUACGCGCGGCUACUCUCGUUUUCAACUGCAUCUAUUGUUAACAAACAUUACAGUGCUUGGCCAGCUAAGAGGACCAGGGAGCGCGCGGCUACUCUCGUUUUCAACUGCAUCUAUUGUUAACAAACAUUACAGUGCUUGGCCAGCUAAGAGGACCAGGGACCACGCGGCUCAGAGAGAGAAAAGUGACAAAAAGUUAGUGCCACGUGGUCAGGGACUUGGCCAGCUAAGCGAGGACCAGGGACCGAAAGGUUAAUAGGUUUGACUAGUGGUUGAUCUAAUCGCCUAAAAAAUAACUCUCUUGAUACACAUAAAAUUAUCUGAUAUUUAAAUCGGUAAUAUGUAUGUUGAGAAAAACAAAUAUACAUGAAUAUAAAAUUAAAAAAAAAGUUUAAUUAUUUAUCUAACUUAAAUAGACUAGCCUGGUUUUACGUGGUUCUUUUAUGAUCUUUGACCGGCUUUAGCUGGGAUUGUCUGGCUAGAUAUUGCUCUUUAGCUUCUAGACCUGGUUGUGUCAUUGUUUUUUUUAGAUUAUUUAUUUAGUUUUUUUUUAAAUAACGAAUAAUUUUAUAAUUAAUUUGUAUGUGUUUAAUGUUUCUAAAAUAUUAUUAUAAUUUAUCUAUAAAUUUUAUUAUAUAUUUUAUAUAAGUAAAACUUAUUCUUAAAAAUAAAAAUUAUUUAUUCUUGGUUAAAAACAAUGACCAUUAAGAUUAAAAAAAAUUGUGUUAAUCAAAGGAAAAAAUUGAGGUUAAACGUUAUAUUUAUCUAUCUUUUACUUUUAAGAAAAUGAUUAUAUUUUUAUUUUAAAAUUGCAUUGUCAUUAACAACUCUUUCUCGAUUUAUUGGCCGUACAUUUUAAGAUUUAUUUUGUUUUGCAUAAAUAACAUCUUUACAUUUCUCGGUUAAGAGAAUUAUUGAUGUGAAUCCCAUGAAUAUAAAGCUAUUGAAACCAACAUUUAAAUUGACCAUUCUCAUGAAAGUUAAGAUCAGGUUUGAAAUUGAGCUUGACACAACGAUAACCUGUGCUGAGACACCAAAAUCAUAAGUAAUCGAACCCUCACUCAUCGCCUAUAAAGAGACGCGAACAAGAAAAAUAGAAGACAUCAUGAAGCUUGAUUAAUUCUUUGAUAAGUCAUAGUAGUUCAAUGAAGAACCAAAAGGUAUGAGCAAAACCUCUCACACACACAAUAAUAAUUACUGAAAUUAAAGUAUGUCCCCCCAAAAAAACCCUAAAUAUAAGCUAAAUAACCCUAUUUAUAAUAGAUAAAAACUUUAUAAACAAUGCUGGAAAAAUAAUAAAAGAGUUCUAAAUAAAAUAGAAAAAAAAAUCAUGAAUCAACUAGGAAACUAAUACAUUUUUUGCAUAGUAGCUUAUAGACCUUAUCGCAAAGCCUUUCUAGUCUCUGAUUGCUUUAGAAUUUUAAGUAAAAAUAGAAAAAGACCUUUGAAAACUCCUGGUAAAAUUUCAACCUAAUGCAUUGUUACCAAUUAUGUAGAUAUUCUUUAAAAUCUAACUUGUGAAUAUUCUCAUGUUUAUUACUAGUUUAGUGUGGAAGCUUGUGACACAAAGUUACUAACAAAUAUGCUUAUUGGGAAAAAGAAGAAAUGGUAAAUUUAGUAUUUUAUUUGGUUUGAAAAUUUAGUAAGGUUAGUCUUUAUCAUCAACAUUAUAUUAAUAAUUAUAGAAUACCAUUUUAACAUAAUUUCAAUGAUUUUUGUAAUUUAAAGACUUAAAAAUUCCUUAUGAUUAUAUUUAUGUUUUUUAUAAGAAAAAACAACAAUUUAAGAACUUAAAUAUAAAGAUUGUCUAUCAAAAAAAAAAAAACCAAAACAAAAUGUAAAGAAAAAAAAAAGUCAAGCGAGCCUAGCAUGCACACUUAGGCCAAGCGUUUUAGGCCCAUUUGUAAAAAGAUUGAAGUAAAUGACGCGUUGUUUAAACCAUCUUCUUUUUCGAUGACUAGAAUCUAAAAGUUCUGUUUUAUCCCCUACGCCCAUGUUUUAUAGUUUUUUUUAAUAAAAAUACCUAAUAUAUAUAUAUAUAUAUAUAUAUAUAUAUAUAUAUAUAUAUAGAGAGAGAGAGAGAGAGAGAGAGAGAGAGUGCUCUAAAGUCUAACAAAUACAGAUCAUAUUAAUUUUGCAGAAAUGUAAUUAUAUAGUAGGAUAAUGAGAUCUAAAGUAAAGAAUCUUACUUAAAUUUGUAUAGAAAUCAAUAUAGAAGAUAUCGGUUACAGGAGUAUGUUUACAAAGAAUUUUCUUCAGUGUAUUUUGCUCUGCCUUUUGAAGCUUAUGAGGUCUUCUUUUAUAGUGGAGCUGUCAUGAAAGAGGCCAAAAGACUUUUUAAAAGGCUGAAGAUUCUUUUUUGCGCUUUUUAGUUAGCUAUAUGUUCUUGUUCCCUAUGGUCAAGAGACGACAAUCAUGGAAAUUGCCUUUAAAUUUUAUGAGGGUUUUCUUUAUUGUCUUCUUACUCACCGAUAGUUGAUUUGUUGUUUAGUAGCAUCAUGAGAUUUUGUAGAAAAAUACCUAAAAUAAUUGGCCUGAAAAAAGAGUUUGAAAAUGAAAAGACUGAACCUAGAACAAGGGCUCAAAACAAGUGAGCUUAAAAGAUCUUGAAAAUACUUUUUUAUGGAUUUUGUAAAGAUGGUAGGAUGCCAUAUCAAUCAUUUUCAUUUUCAUUACUGAGAGGAGUAUAUGAUCCUGAGGAUGAGGAGGCUGAAGAAGAGGAAAACAUAAAUUCUCCUUUUCCACUAUUUAGGAGUUUUUUCAUGACCUCAAAACAUUUUUCUUUGGACUUGGCAGUUGCCAAAAGUGCUGAGGCAUGGGCUUUUUGGGUGAGGAAAAGGGAUUGAGACUGGUCUUUUAGAGUGGUGGUUCUUUAGUGCCAUGUCUAUUGUUUGAAGAAAACCAUAACAUUACAGCAAAUUCAAAGCAUUAUUUUUUGCCGCAAGAGUCCCACCAUUUGACUUUGUAUUUUCUUAUCAAAAUUACAUGAGUAUUUUGGUCGUUAUAGUCAAAGUACCAUGAGCAUACCUAAGACACAAAGAAUUUGGAAUAAAACAUAAGCAUUGGGAAAAAUUUCUUUUCUUUCUUGGUGCCUUUGAAAUUCUAUUUCAAAAGUUUGUAGCCCUUUUCAACCACAAGGUAUGGGUAAAUGAGUUCAGUAAUACAACCAAGGUAAUCCUACCAUUGACGAAACCAAUUUGGUAUUUUUGUAGUAUUAAUAGAGUUAUCAAAAUAAAAUAACCAGGAAUGGCUUUCUUUGGAGUUUUGGAGAAAAAAAGCAUUAAACCAUGCCUAUUGGUGGUCCCAAUAGGAAUAAGUUUGGCAAUGGUUAUUUAAUUUGGUUCGGAAGCUGAUAGGAAAACGGAUCCCAUGAUGAAGAGGUUGUUUCCAAUCAGUUGGAUGGAGGACAUCUUUGAUGAUACCGGUAGAUAGGCUGGUUCAAUAUGAUAUUGUUUGAGGUUAAAAUGUUUAAAUUUUACUGAACCUGUAAUUUCAAGGAUAACCAUGUAGUAAGCAUGAGUUUUUGUAGUGUACUAAUGUUUGAAGUACCACUCUAGAGGAAAAAUUUUUGUAGCCAUGACAAAAGGAUCAAGAUGGUAAAAUUCAUAUUCAAUAGGUAAAACAUUUUGAAAAUUGUUUUUUGAUGAAAUAUUCAAAUUUUAGUUUUGAAGAUGUUUUCAUGAAAUUGGUUUGAGAUAAUGAAAGAUUUGUAGAUUGAAUGAGAGGAUUUUUAGAAGAAGACUACUUGGGGUUUUUGAAAUUAGUGUAGAAGUUUUACCUCAUUAAGAGGAUUCAUCCUCUUGAGAGUACUUCUAGCUGAAAUUUUAUAAGGCUAAAAGUAUUCUAGAGAUUUGGAUAGAGUUUCUACCAAAUUUUAUACUUUGUCACUUUGGAUUGCUGAAGGAUUUGUUACUUUCUCUUUAACAAUAACUGCAUCGUACCAAGAAGUUAUUGGUUUUGCAUAAGAUAUAGUAGAAGCCACAAGUUUUGUAUUGCUUUGGGUUUUUUGUGGUUUUGUAGGUGCUGACCGAGGGGUUUUGCCCUUAUAUUUGGACUAGGAAGGCAUCAAGACCUGUUUUGGAGAAAUUUGUGAGUUAGAAAAUCAGGAAUGAAAUUUGUAUCGCCUUUUAUAUACUCAAUAUCAAAAUAAAAAAAAUACUUAAUAUAACUUGACAUCUAGCAAAAACCUGUUUUGAAGCAAUAUUUUGAACAUUUUUUUUGUAAAACUUCUUUAGAAGAUUUGUAAUCAAUACGUAAUAGGAAUUUUUAGUUUAAUAAGUUGCUUUGAAAUUUUAUAAUACAUAGAAAAAUUGAAAGAAUUUCUUUCUUGAUGGUAGAGUAAUUCUUUUGGCAGUCAUUCCAAUGGGCAGAUGUAAAUUGAAGAAUUUAUUGUUUGGAAUUUUGAACUUGUUUGAGAAUUCCCCUAUACUCUAAUUCUGAUUUAUCUAUUUCUACAAUCUUAGAAGCUAAGGGAUUGGCUAGAUGAAGAUAAGGGAUUUCUUGCACUUAUUUUUUAAUCGGAUGAAUGAGAGCAAUAUGUGCAUCGGACUAUGGUACUGUGUUUUUUUUUUAUCAUCUAUUAAGAAGGGGUUUUGCAAGUCUACUGAUAUUAGGAUAAAAGUCUAAAACAUAAUUUAAACUUCCCAGGAACCUUUGUAACUGAGGUUUAUCAAGGAUUUUAUCAGGAAAUUUGUUGGCAAAGGUAAAGGGUCUUUUAAUGGGUGUGAUGAUAUCUUGGGAGAUAUAAUGAUCAAAAAAACAAAAACGAGUUUGAAACAGAGAAAUCUUUGAUUUGGAGACAACUAAAUCAUUUUGUUUUGUAACAUGAAAGAAUGUUUGUGGGUGUUUAAAAUGUUACUCUAAUGAGUUUGAAAAAAUAUGAACAUCAUCAAUAUAAACUGUACAAAAUUUGGAAUAUGCAUUAAAUAUGUCAUUCAUUAUCAUUUGAAAUUUAGAUGGUGCAUUUUUUAAACCAAAUGGCAUAACAUUCCAUUUAUACUGACCAAAAGGAAUUGUGAAUGCAAUUUUGUAACAGGCUUUAGGAUGAAUUUGAAUUUGCCAAAACCCUGAUUUCAUAUCAAACUUAAAAAAUAUAAAAGCAAAAUGCAAUUUUUGUAAUAAAUCUUUCUUAUUUGGAAUUGGAUAUCUAAUCCACUUUAAAACUCUAUUUAGUGGUUUGUAAUUGAUCACAAGUCUAGGUGUGCCGUUUUCUAUUUUAGAAUUUUUGUUGACAUAAAAUGCAGCACACGAUCAAGAUGAUCUGGACUUUUAGAUCAGACCUUUAGACUUUAAAUCUUGAAUUUCGAGUCUACAAUGUUGUUCUAAUUCAGCAUUCAUUUGGAAAGGUCUUGCUUUUGUAGGUAUUUGAUUUUCAGAAAAGUUAUCUUCAUAGGAAACAUCAACAACAUGUUGUUUUCUUUUCCAAAAAACAUUUGGCAGAUCAAAACAAAUUUCAUGUUCGAUCUUGUUUCGGAAAUCUGAAAUUCUUUUUUGUAAAACAAAAUUAUGUAAUUGUUGCUCAAUUCUUUGUAAAAAACUUCUUUUUUUCAAAUGAUGUAAAUGAAAUUGUUUUUCAUGGAUCUGAUAUUUAUGCAUAGAACAUGCUUUGAUUAGAUUUAGAUUCCUAGUUUUUUAUUUUUCUAAGACAGGAAAAAUAAGUUUAACACCUUUAAUUUUUGAAGUAAUGCAGUCAUGUAUGGCUUUGUAAGGGGUAAUUAUGUCAUCAUAUUCAAGAGGCAACUUAAUUCAAAUAUGCUUAAAAUUUGAUUUCAUUAUAAUUGAAUGAAAGAAUAAUUAAAUCAAAGAAUAAUCUCUCCUACAGCUCCACGUUACUCUCAUACAUACACUAAUGCUAUCCCUUCUCAAAUUAAAGUGGAACAAGUUGAAGUUGAAGGGUCAAAUAAAGCUGGAAGCACGUAUUUCCUUCCAUUAACACCAUGAGCAUUAUAGCUAGCACCAGUUGUAGAGUCCACUAACAAAUCCCCAGCAUAACCAGGAUACGCACCCUUACCAUAGACCCCAGGACAAGCAGAUGCGGCCUCAAGAGGAGCCUCCUUUGGACCCUGGAAAUAGCCAUUUUCAAAUGGGUUUGUUGCAGUCCCAGCCAAAAGACUAGCCAGAUUGAUUACCAUACCAUCGAGACCCACAUCAUUGUUGGGUGCAACCAAUGGAGGGUUCUGUGGUCCAUAGAUUGGCUGGUGGAAUGGCCACGCACAUUGACCGGGGCAUUGAGUCUCAGAGUUACCAACCCAAAUGUAAGCAAAUUUCGAUCUCUUACCGUUGAUUGUUUUAGCACUCAAAGAGGACCCAUGAGUACCACAUUUACUAGAGCAAAACCCUUCAACAGCAACAUCGGAUGAUGUCAAAACAACGUUGAUGGCACCCUUUUGACCACCCUUCGAUGCUAGCUGCACGAUUUGCUUGCUGGAGAGCGAUUUCCCCAAUGAACAGCUCUCGUCUAAAAUCUGUGUUCCUACAGAGAGGAGAAGAGGAGAGGUUUUCUUCGUCUUGACAAGGUUGUAAUAUUUCUCAGUAGCUUUCCACCACGUGGCAACAGAGGGUUGGGCUGUUGUGGGUCUUCUAGAAGAGACAGAGGCAAUAAAAUCUGAGACAAUGGCACGCUGAGAUGGCUUGAACUUGCCAUACCAGAUCAAGUUGAUCGAAAUUUCACCGGUAAGAAGAGGGCCAUUGUGG